CGAUGGAUGCUAGCUGUCCGGGGCGAAUGAGUUCUGGGUGGCACAGCGAAAGCGUUAAGCAUCCCACCUGGGGAGUACGCCGGCAACGGUGAAACUCAAAGGAAUUGACGGGGGCCCGCACAAGCGGAGGAACAUGUGGUUUAAUUCGAUGAUACGCGAGGAACCUUACCCGGGCUCAAACGGCACAGGGAUACUUUUGAAAGGAGGUAGCUCUACGGAGACUGUGCCGAGGUGCUGCAUGGGUGUCGUCAGCUCGUGCCGUGAGGUGUCGGCUUAAGUGCCAUAACGAGCGCAACCCCUAUUGUCAGUUGCCAGCAGGUAAAGCUGGAGACUCUGACGAGACUGCCGGCGCAAGCUGAGAGGAAGGCGGAUAUGACGUCAAAUCAGCACGGCCCUUACGUCCGGCGCGACACACGUGUUACAAUGGCAGGUACAGCGGGAAGCCACCCGGCGACGGGGCGCGGAACCCGAAAACCUGUCUCAGCUCGGAUUGGAGUCUGCAACCCGACUCCAUGAAGCUGGAUUCGCUAGUAAUCGCGCAUCAGCCACGGCGCGGUGAAUACGUUCCCGGGCCUUGUACACACCGCCCGUCAAGCCAUGGAAGCCGGGGGUACCUGAAGUACGUGACCGCAAGGAGCGUCCUAAG
rnacentral:rRNA from 1 species